GACGAACGCUGGCGGCGUGCUUAACACAUGCAAGUCGAACGGAAAGGCCCUACUUUUGUGGGGUGCUCGAGUGGCGAACGGGUGAGUAACACGUGAGUAACCUGCCCUUGACUUUGGGAUAACUUCAGGAAACUGGGGCUAAUACCGGAUAGGAGCUCCUGCUGCAUGGUGGGGGUUGGAAAGUUUCGGCGGUUGGGGAUGGACUCGCGGCUUAUCAGCUUGUUGGUGGGGUAGUGGCUUACCAAGGCUUUGACCGGUAGCCGGCCUGAGAGGGUGACCGGCCACAUUGGGACUGAGAUACGGCCCAGACUCCUACGGGAGGCAGCAGCGGGGAAUAUUGCACAAUGGGCGGAAGCCUGAUGCAGCAACGCCGCGUGCGGGAUGACGGCCUUCGGGUUGUAAACCGCUUUCGCCUGUGACGAAGCGUGAGUGACGGUAAUGGGCAAAGAAGCACCGGCUAACUACGUG
rnacentral:rRNA from 1 species